CUCGCCUGGCUCCGGUCUCAUACUUGGUACCAGUGCACGCUCCCCGGCCACCGGUUCACCGGAGGGUCCACGUCUACCGGCACCACAGGGCUCACUGAGUCGGGGCAAAGUCCUCUGAAUCACCACCAAGUUCAAAGGGUCCGGCCAGUUCCCUACCCGCACACCGGUCACCCGAGGGCGGGAAUCUGUGGGUCCGCCUCUGCAAGGAGUCCGCAG